AAGGAAGAUGGCAAAGACAGUGAGGGAGAGAGCAGAUGUCUGACUCUGGGGUGCUUAUCUGUGUGGAAGAGACCGGUUCUUCCUGACUGGCUUCAUGUCCCUCAAGAUCCCAAAGAAGGCUAUGGCCAUUUCAAAGCCAGAGAAUAGGGGCAGAGACUCAGCAGCCUGCUCCUGGGUGCAAAGAGACAAGGCCAGGUGCAGCCUGUGCUCACAGUCUUGGAAGCUUGGUGGUGGUGGAGGUGUUCUCCUGGCUGUUCAAGUAUUUACCCGUCUGUGUGUGACUCAUAUCCAGGAACCCAGGCAGCUUCCCUCAAUAGAUUGCUGGCUUCAGAAGAUGAGCCUCCCCU
ensembl:lincRNA 5930412G12Rik RIKEN cDNA 5930412G12 gene